rnacentral:lncRNA from 1 species
AGUCUGCUCAGCCUGUGUUAGUGGAGAAGAGGGAAGGAAACUGGCUGGAGGCCGCUGGACCCACAGAGGACAAUAGACAAUCUCCUGCUGAUGCCCACUGGAUCCAAAGAGAGAAACUCUAUAGAAUUAUGAUCUAGGUUUGACUGACUCCUGGCAAGAAGCCCUACCCGCCAGCCAAUUUGGAUGAGCUCUUAUGCUCCAGAUCCAUCAUGAGAAGAACAUGCCCUGGAUUCCUGCUAUCCCUUUAGCCAUGGCUCCAAAAUUAACACACACAAGGAAGACCUGAGGUCAAUCCACAGCCUGGAUUCAAGUCACCUAAUACAUAGGAGAAUCAGAGCUACCCAGCCACACUCAAUCUACGUUAACUGAACCUCAGCUGACCUGCAGAUUUAUGAGUAUGAGAAUAAAG